GACGAACGCUGGCGGCGUGCUUAACACAUGCAAGUCGAACGGGAAGGCCUGCUUUCCCUUGUGGAUUGCGGGUACUCGAGUGGCGAACGGGUGAGUAACACGUGAGUGAUCUGCCCCCAACUUGGGUAUAAGCCUGGGAAACUGGGUCUAAUUCCCGAUAGGACUGCAGGGUGGUGCCUGUGGUGGAAAACGAUUUUCUAGUGGUUGGGGAUGAGCUCGCGGCCUAUCAGCUUGUUGGUGGGGUAAUGGCCUACCAAGGCGGCGACGGGUAGCCGGCCUGAGAGGGUGGACGGCCACAGUGGGACUGAGAUACGGCCCAGACGCCUACGGGAGGCAGCAGUGGGGAAUAUUGCACAAUGGGCGGAAGCCUGAUGCAGCGACGCCGCGUGGGGGAUGACGGCCUUCGGGUUGUAAACUCCUUUCGACCGCGAGGAAGCCACCUGGUUGGAAGGGUGGUGACGGUAGUGGUAGAAGAAGCACCGGCUAACUACGUG
rnacentral:rRNA from 1 species